AUUGAACGCUGGCGGCAUGCCUUACACAUGCAAGUCGAACGGUAACAGGUCUUCGGAUGCUGACGAGUGGCGAACGGGUGAGUAAUACAUCGGAACGUGCCCGAUCGUGGGGGAUAACGCAGCGAAAGCUGUGCUAAUACCGCAUACGAUCUACGGAUGAAAGCGGGGGAUCGCAAGACCUCGCGCGGACGGAGCGGCCGAUGGCAGAUUAGGUAGUUGGUGGGAUAAAAGCUUACCAAGCCGACGAUCUGUAGCUGGUCUGAGAGGACGACCAGCCACACUGGGACUGAGACACGGCCCAGACUCCUACGGGAGGCAGCAGUGGGGAAUUUUGGACAAUGGGGGAAACCCUGAUCCAGCCAUGCCGCGUGCAGGAUGAAGGCCUUCGGGUUGUAAACUGUCUUUUGUACGGAACGAAAAGGUACCUUUACUAAUAAAGAGGGCUCAUGACGGUACCGUAAGAAUAAGCACCGGCUAACUACGUGCCAGCAGCGCGGUAA
rnacentral:rRNA from 1 species